rnacentral:rRNA from 1 species
UACGUAGGUGGCGAGCGUUGUCCGGAUUUACUGGGCGUAAAGGGAGCGUAGGAGGACUUUUAAGUGAGAUGUGAAAUACCCGAGCUCAACUUGGGUGCUGCAUUUCAAACUGGAAGUCUAGAGUGCAGGAGAGGAGAAUGGAAUUCCUAGUGUAGCGGUGAAAUGCGUAGAGAUUAGGAAGAACACCAGUGGCGAAGGCGAUUCUCUGGACUGUAACUGACGCUGAGGCUCGAAAGCGUGGGGAGCAAACAGGAUUAGAUA